rnacentral:rRNA from 1 species
AGACGACUCUCGGCAACGGAUAUCUCGGCUCUUGCAUCGAUGAAGAACGUAGCGAGAUGCGAUACGUGGUGUGAAUUGCAGAAUCCCGUGAACCAUCGAGUCUUUGAACGCAAGUUGCGCCCGAGGCCACUCGGCCGAGGGCACGCCUGCCUGGGCGUCACGCCCCCGAUCGCUCCCCCGCGGCAUGGCCUGCCCCGGGGAGGCGGAGACUGGCCGCCCGUGCGCCACUCGAAGGCGAGCGGUUGGCCCAAAUGCAGGUCAAAGUGCGGUGCGGCACGACGCGUGGUGGUUUAGAGCCGCGAUCGAUCGCGAAUCGGACGCAGUGCCUGCGUCAGGCCGCACCCGUGCGACACGUGGGACGCAGCUUGCCCGUUUCGGCGGGAGCUCGGACCGCGACCCCAGGUCAGGCGGGGCCACCCGCUGAGUUUAAGCAUAUCAAUAAGCGGAGGAGAAGAAACUUACGAGGAUUCCCCUAGUAACGGCGAGCGAACCGGGAGGAGCCC